UCUCUCUUUCUAACUUCCCACCUUGCCAAUUUCCUAACUUCGAAUCUUGCCAACUUCCUAACUUGCCAACUUCCUAACCUGUGACGUUCCCUAUUUGCUGAUUUCCUAACUUUCCACCUUCCCAUCUUGCCAACUUCUCACCUUGCCGCCUUCCCAACUUCCUAACUUGCCGCCUUCCCAAUUUCCUAACUUGCCGCCUUCCCAACUUCCUAACUUGCUGCCUUCCCAACAUCCUAACUUGCCACCUUCCCAAUUUGCCAAUUUCCUAACUUGCCGCCUUCCCAAUUUGAUAACUUCCCAACUUGCCACCUUCCCAACUUCCUAACCCGUCAUCUUCCCAAUUUGACAACUUCCUAACUUCCCACCUUGCCAACUUCUCACCUUGCCAACUUGCCACUUUCCCAACUUCCUACCUUGUCGCCUUCCUAAUUUCCCAACUUCCUAACUUGCCUAUUUCCCAACUUCCUAAUUUCCCGACGUUCUAAAUUAUCAACUUCCCAACAGUGUUCAGCUACAAUUGGGUCAUUUUGUGUUAUUUUUCUGCACACCAAAGCACAUAUUUUGGGGGCAAACCCUGUCAUCCAGACGACAUCCAGCUAAGCCUAGCCCUUCCCUGCAGUCAGGUCGGGGUCCUCGAGCCCAACCCAGCUGGGAAGUUAGUUAAGGCUUGACUCCCGUCCAGGGGAGUGAAGUCAGCCGUUGGAUUUGAGGUCUGCUUGCGGC
rnacentral:lncRNA from 1 species